UAUUUACUUUUGCAGUGCUACCUGCCCCGAGAGCAGUAAAGCAUCCUGUGUAGCAGCUGUGGGCACUAAUUCACCACAACUGCAGUCUGCUUUCGCAGCAUCACCUACAUUUCUUUUCCAUAUGCUAACUCCCUUUUAGCUUAAUUUUCCCAUUACCCAGCAGUAACACUGAGCAACUGUGUUGGGCUGUAUUCAAAUGCAAAUUAAUAACCCCUUCUGUCCAUUAGCUCCGCUGUUUCUUGUCUAGCCAAAGCAACUGGAAACCGCGAGGAGCGCGGUUCAGCGGUCGGACAGAGGGGCCCUGUCUGGGCUGGGACUGCAGUUCAUCCCAAGAGCAGACACAAAGCAGCAGGCUGUCACGAGGAGAGAUUUGAAACAUCCACUGGAUUGGCACGGAGAAUUCCUGGAGCAGGAAAGGGGAGCUGAGGGGAAGGGAGGUGUCACUGUGAAGCUAUAUGACUCCAGUCUUAGCCAUCAUUGACGAGCCAGACUGGACCACUUGGGACUCGAAAUGCCAGCCACAAACUGGGAGGAAAAAGUGCUGUAAUUCCUCUGCAGUGUUACCCAGAAAGUGAAGCUCCACCCGUGUGAGUCACCAAACCCAAAAGGGCUGAUGUAUUUCCUCAUGCCUAUGUAACGCUGAAUGAUGAAAUAAAAAUGAG
ensembl:lncRNA